UAUGAAAGUAUGAUACUGUUUUCUUGUGCCUAGUUAUGUUAGAAAUGGUUACUUACAACUUAUCAACGGCUGAAAAGGAAAACUUAUAUGCCAUGGAAUGACCACUUAAUUUAUUUCUAGAGUAUUUAUUUAGUUUAUGACAUCUCCUGCCUCGCGUCUACCCGCAAUUGCGUCACCAUUAUGCUCACAUUUUCAUUCAUUCAUAGUCUCACACAAUAUCACUCUCAUCUCUAUUUAGCUCUCCUCACAGUCUCGCUCGCAAUGUUUAUAUUUUUUCUAAUUUUAAGUUCAUUUGCUUUAACAAUGUUUUGUAGAUUUGUGUGGUGUGUCUCUUGUGAAAGCAAAUCAACAAGAUAGAAGGGUUGCAACUCAUUUUGCCAAAGAAUUGAAGGUAAUUCAUUGAUAGAGUGAUUUUCCAACAAUUUAAUUAGUUGCUUUUGUGUUGAGUGUAUUUUGAACAUCUCUGUCAAAUAAUAUAAGUGUUGAUGCAGCAAAGAACUGCCUCAAUCUUGUAUUAAACAAGGUAACAAUGGAUAUAGUAGAUUUGCAUGACAUGAUAUAUAUUCAUAUAGCCUUUUUGUUAUAUUUGCAAUUAGUUGUAGAUCCUACAAUCAUUUUGUCUUUACUAAUUACUCCCCAUAAUUAAGGAAAAUAUUGUAGCUAAGGCAAUUCCUUUCUCAAUUAGGGCAACAAAUGGUCUUCCUCUUUAGAGGUUACAGGAUAGUUCAUAGUAGUCUAUGAUAUAUUUUCUAUAUAUCUGCAUAUAUGAUAUUAUUGAAUGCACCUUUUUUUGUGAACUGUUAGGAUUUGGCAUUUCAUCACUUGUCUCUUUCUGCCCUGCUGGGAGAAAACAUCUACAACUACAAUUUUAGAGAGCUACUUGCCCAUCCUAUUUCUUUGUUUCAAGACAUUUGAAAGUCUUGUUAUGAUUAAGCCCUGCAUUUGAGGGUUGUGGAUUCAAAAUGACAUCAAUAUCUACUCAGCAACAGUUCUGAUAUGCCCAGCCACCGUCGAAGCCUAUUAGAGCAUUCACUUGGCAAGGUCAUUGAGAACUUAUAUUUUUGGUUGGUGUCUCCCGGUAUUAAAGUUUAUCAUGCUUCUUUUUAAUUGUGAAACUUCUCAAUAUUACUCCCAAAGACAUGACUUUAAAUUUUUUAAAGAGUUACAAGCUUGUCUUAUAGCUUUCAAAGAAUUAGCUUGAUGUGGUGAAGGUCAAAUGACAUUUGACGUAAUUCUGUAUGGGUAGUUCAAUGACAAUUUUCUAGAGGUUAAGAAGCUCUACAUCCAGAGGAAAGAUUAAAUCAAAUAGUCGAAAAAGAUCUAAUGACAAAGUGACUUUGUUAAAUGGGAAGAAAUGGUCCACGUUGCACUCAUCUGUAGACAUUUUAGGUGACUCUGUUGAUUAUGUGUAAUUGCAUAUGCCUCUAAGCAUUAGUACUCAGGCAUCACAUGAGCUAAACUAAGGCUUUUCUCUUGUACUAAAGAUCAACGAUUUAGAAACUGAGUGGUGUCAUUCAUACAUGCUAUAAGCAAAGGAUUGAUUAAGUUUGAAAUUUUGAGUUGUAUUUUGUUGUUGGAUUA